rnacentral:lncRNA from 1 species
UCUGUGCACAGCCACCCAUCUCUCAUUGGAGUUUUCUACUGAGAAAAAUUAAAUGGUCAUCAGAACUACAUCUUCCUAAGGGGGAAAGAAACACCCAAUAACAUCUUGGCAGGUGCUGCAUAAUCAUGCCUCAAAUGACUUUCUGAAGAUAAAAAGAAUGUGGUACUUGCUUGCAUAACUGAACAUAUCUGCCUGAGUUGUUUUCCUACAGAUGUUAUCCUGGGAAUAGAAACAAAAUUGUUCAUUCCCUAGCAGCCUUCAAGAAGCACUGUGAUCUAGGGCAGCACAGAGCCA